GAAGGGUGGUCGUUACAGAGAACUCGGUGAUCCAGAACUAUAUGGAGGCAUUGGUUCCUGGCGAUCUAAAAACAAUCUUACUUGGCAGAUUAUAAACUAGUGAAUACUUCAGAAGGUUAUCAGAAAAUGACUGGUCUCGAUACGUUUCACAGUCGGGAAGAUAGAAAA